AUACUUACCUGGAUGGGGUCAAUGGGUGAUCAAGUAGACUCAUGGCCUAGGGGAGUGACCUCUAUUGCACUUUGGAGGGGUGCUUCUCUAAGGUCUAUCCAAGUGGUAGAGCCUACAUCAUAAUUUGUGAUAGUAGGGGCCUGCGUUCGCGCGGCCCCUUC
rfam:Cajanus cajan CcLG09_272, whole genome shotgun sequence.